UUCUAAUCUGCAGGGAAAGGUGGCAUUGGUGACCGGAGGAGACUCUGGAAUAGGAAGAGCUGUAUGCUACUAUUUUGCUUUAGAAGGUGCAACCGUGGCCUUCACAUAUGUCAAGGGCCAAGAGGACAGGGACAGGGAUGAUACUUUGCAAAUGCUACAAGAAGCAAAGACCUGUGACGCCCUAGACGCCUUAGCCAUAGCUGCUGAUAUCGGAUAUGAGGAAAAUUGCAAGAGGGUUAUUGAUGUUGUUGUAGAAGAAUUUGGAAAAAUUGACAUCCUGGUGAAUAAUGCAGCUGAACAGCAUUUCAACAACAGUGUUGAAGAAAUUACUGAAUCCGGGCUUGAGAGGACCUUUAGAACCAACAUUUUCUCUUAUUUUUUCAUGUGUAGGUAAAGGACUGGACUUUUUGUUUUCUUUUUGUCAUCAAAAACUCCAAGUCUCAAAUAAAAUGUUACACUAAAAAGUAAAUUUGGUGCAGGCAUGCUCUAAAGCACAUGAAAGAAGGAAGCUGCAUUAUCAAUACGACUUCAGUCCUUGGCUUCACUGGUAGUCCAACAUUACUAGGCUAUUGUGCAACCAAAGGAGCCAUUGUGGCAUUCACCAAGGGUCUGGCUCUCCAGCUUGUUGAGAAGGGGAUCCGUGUCAAUGGCGUGGCCCCGGGUCCUGUGUGGACUCCACUGCAAGUGGCAUCUUUGCCCGUGGACUGGAUCACAAGCUUGGGGAGUGAGGCUCCCAUGGACAGGGCUGCACAACCUCACGAAAUUGCACCAUCUUUUGUGUUCUUGGCCUCCAAUCAAUGCUCCUCCUACUUCACUGGCCAGUUCCUCCACCCCAAUGGUUGGCCUAAUUUCAUCAGUCAAAUUGUGCCUUCAAUGUUAUUAUUUACAUGGACAUCUAUUUUGAAACCUGUCAGAUAUCUAAUCUUAAUAGUGCUGAUCUGAUCUUUGGUUACGUUGCAGGUGGUAUGUGGUGAUCACCAACCAAGGCUUGAGUUCUCCAGCUUGCUUAUUACAUUUACAUAUGCAUGUGUGGUGCCGUGGUGUUUUAUUGUGUUUAUGAGUGUGAGCCAUUCAUUUC
rnacentral:lncRNA from 1 species